UACUGGUUAAGGGAAGCGGAGAACUGAGGACAUCUGCCCAUCCCUGCCCUGCUGUCUGAGCACUCUGGCCUAGACUGGCUGAGUGGAGGGUGCCAACUACAAAUGCCCAUUAUCACUGCUUCAGUCAGUGAACAAAUACUGAGCACCUACUAUGUGCCAACUCACACUUGGAGAAGUGAGAUGCUGGAGGGACAGGGCAAGAAUCCCUCAAGAGUGGGGUUUCCUGAAAGGGGGUAAAAAAGGAAUUAUGGCCCUUUACCACGUGGCGGCGCCAAAGAACAGCUUAUAGAGCCGAAUUCCUCAGUAAAGAUGUUCUCCAGGAAAGACAUUCCCAGCCUGGACUCCUUUUCUCUCUGGGAAACAAACACACAAAUAAACAUCCAUUUUGUGA